rfam:Gossypium raimondii Chr07_contig_790, whole genome shotgun sequence.
UAGUAAAAACUUUUAUCAAUUUCUAUUGUUAAAAAUUAGAGUUGCUGACAAAAUAAUCAAAUAAUUACACGUGAUGUACCAGGUGUACCUCAUUCUGACGUUUAAAGACUAAUUUUUAACAAUAGAAAUUAAUGAAUUUUUAAUA